rnacentral:tRNA from 1 species
GGUAGCGUGGCCGAGUGGUCUAAAAGAAAAAAGGUCUAAAGCAGUGGAUUAAGUCUCCAGUCCCUACUGGGGCAUGGGUUCGAAUCCCACUGCUACCA